AUUGAACGCUGGCGGCAUGCUUUACACAUGCAAGUCGGACGGCAGCGGGGUAGUGCUUGCACUACUGCCGGCGAGUGGCGAACGGGUGAGUAACAUAUCGGAACGUACCGAGCAGUGGGGGAUAACUAAUCGAAAGAUUAGCUAAUACCGCAUAUAUUCUGAGGAAGAAAGCAGGGGACCUUUGGGCCUUGCGCUGUUUGAGCGGCCGAUAUCUGAUUAGCUGGUUGGUGGGGUAAAGGCCUACCAAGGCGACGAUCAGUAGCGGGUCUGAGAGGAUGAUCCGCCACACUGGGACUGAGACACGGCCCAGACUCCUACGGGAGGCAGCAGUGGGGAAUUUUGGACAAUGGGGGCAACCCUGAUCCAGCCAUGCCGCGUGUCUGAAGAAGGCCUUCGGGUUGUAAAGGACUUUUGUCCGGGAAGAAAAGCGCGAUGUUAAUACCAUUGCGUGCUGACGGUACCGGAAGAAUAAG
rnacentral:rRNA from 1 species